CAUUUUCUCUCCUCCAUUUCAGAGAUGCGCCGCAAUGCUCCCCCUGCCCUUCCAGCACCUUCUCCGCUCCGAUGGCGUCGAAGCAAAGGAGUUCUCCAACAACAUCGCGUCGGUACGGGCAUUGUGCGCGGCGUGGAAGGAGAACGUGCGACGGUUAUUGCGACGUGUGUGGGGUGUGGCUGCUGAUUUUGCUGCUAGCUGCUAGGGUUUCUUUCUGCCUCUGUUUUGUAUUUUGGACUAGCAGAAUAGGGUUAGCAAUUUGGGCUUGUAACAUUUGUAAUUGGGCCACGUAAAUUAAGAUUUUAAAUGGACUGGACACCUUUGUUUA